GUGGAUGACAAAACAGCGGAAAACUUGCACCAACUGAAAACUCCUUGUCCAGCUGAAGAAGAGCAAAGUGAAAAUAAUUUCACAUUUGUUUUGAAACAUUUCUACUUUUCUACAGAAUUACAUUAAAUUCGGCACCACCCCCUCGAAACAUUAGGUUUAGGUUGAACCAAAAUAAUACUCGAAAAUAAUGGACCCCAUUCUCGUAAUUUUCAUCGUCUACGCCAUCUGCUUCGUGGUUUUUGGCGUGUGGAGUUUUGGCGAAAUGGCGCAUGACAAAAGGGUCGCGGAGAGUGGCGAAAUGUACGGUCUGCUCGGAACUUCGCGAACUUCGGAGUGCAAACUUCACACCCUGGAACUGUUCGGAGGAUGGUUCGGAAGUCUGAUGGCGCAGGUCUGUUUCCGCCACAAGAUUAAGAAAUGCUCGUACCAGGUCACAUUUUGGAUUAUCGUGGCUCUCCACGUGGUCGGAAUGGGGGCCGUGUAUCUUGGGAGGGAUGAAAUCCGGGACUUUUUUAAGAAAGGUGGGGGAAAAUAGAGGGUGGUGGGGGAUUAAUUGGGGUAAAAAUGGUAGUAAUUAAGUGGGUAUUUCGGAUUAUAAGUAAUUAAGUGGGUAUUUCGGAUUAUAAGUAAUUAACCGGGUAUUUCGGAUUAUCAUUACAGUUUUGAUAUUUAUUUAUGUAUUAUUUACUGAAUGAUACUUCUAUUUUUUUUCAAAAAAUGUGGGGGGACAAUAAAUAAAAGGUGAUGGGGGGUAAAUUGUGGUAAAAAUGUUAGUAAUUAAGUUGGUAUUUGGGAUUUCCUUGAUAAUUGUGUAACACAUAGUUUGUGUGGAUUAUUUAAUGAAUGAUGUUUGUAUAUAAAUGCUAUACAAAAACUAAGGCUGAAUUUUUGUGAUAAUAAUUCGAUAAAAGAAUCUGUGCAAAAAUUUUUGUGCUCCUCUUGAUAAGCACAAACUUAUAUAUUUGCUUAUUUCAAAUAAAGUGGCCUUAUAUUCUAAAGAAAUGUUGAAUGUGAACUAAUUACAAAACAAUAAAUACUUGUGAAAUUCA